rnacentral:tmRNA from 1 species
GGGGUCGACCGGAAUUGACAGGAUGGAGAUGAAUAAGUAAGCAUGCAGCGCGUUGGGUGAAUUAGCGCUCUAAUCUGAACACUCAAACACACAAACGGCGAAAAUAACUACGCCUUAGCUGCCUAAUUUAGAAUUAGCAUAGCUUUUGUCCCGCCGGUUUUCGGUUCCAUUGAGCCGGCAUCAGGGGCAUCGACAAACGGAACUGGCUCGCUUAGGGUGUGAUAAGCAGGCGAGAUAAAGCACCUACGGAAGACGGUACAGGCAAGCAACUGGCCUUCCCCUUCCCGACAAUUUAACAGAAGCUAAGCAUGUAGAAAGCUUACUUUAUACCAUGUUUGGACGAGGGUUCGAAUCCCUCCGGCUCCACUU